GUUCGAAUCUGUUGCAGCUGCCAGAGACGAAGCCCUUCGUGUACCACUGCUCGCUGCUUGCCUGAAGCUUUCCUCUGCUCUGCUCUGCUCCGCUGCACCUUCUCAAGCGCAACAAGUCCAUCGCCACACCAAAAAGAUUCCGCUCGCUCCUCGACCCCGCUAUCUCCAUGGACUCUGUGAUUGCAAAUUUGACUUGUUGGUGGCAGGGACGCAAAUUGGAGCUGUGAUUUUGCUGGUUCUGAUGUUGUGAGCGUGAAAUGUAAGGCUGAUCGUGUUGAUAGUGGCUACGUACUUAAUGGAAACAAGAUGUGGUCUACUAAUGGUCCAGUCGCUCAAACAUUGGUUGUCUAUGCAAAGACAGACAUAACAGCUGGGUCAAAAGGAAUCACUGCAUUCAUCAUCAAGAAGGGAAUGCCAGGAUUCAGCACGGCCCAGAAAUUGGAUAAACUUGGGAUGCGAGGAAGUGAUACAUGUGAACUCGCGUUUGAGAAUUGCUUUGUUUCUGAAGAAAAUGUUCUUUGGGAAGUAGGAAAAGGAGUCUAUGUCAUGAUGUCUGGUUUGGUUCUGGAGAGACUUGGUUUGGCAGCUGGUCCCCUGGGUAUCAUGCAGGCAUGUCUUGAUGUGGUCCUUCCUUAUGUUGGACAAAGAGAGCAGUUCGGUCAUCCUAUUGGGGAAUUUCAGUUUAUACAGGUCCAUAUAGUUGAGAAAUGGUUUUUCUACAAUCAUCCUGGCAUUUUAUUGCAUGUGAUUUUUAGACAUUACAUUGUAGAUCGAUCUUGUUACAGGGGAAAGUUGCCGACAUGUAUACUUUAUCGUCCUCAAGGGCUUAUGUGUAUUCGGUGGCUCGGGACUGCAACAAUGAAAAAGUAGACGCAAAGGUCCAUUUUGACAUAGUAUUAUACCAACAUAUGAGUGUCGUGGCACGUGUGAAAUGCAAUACCAUUAUGCUGUCACGAUAGACUAAGAAUAAAUUAUCAUUGCUAAAAUGUUGGCAUCUGUUUCUGCAAUGCGUUCUGAACUCAAGCAUCAAAUUGACUUAAGAUGUUGACUAAUUACAACUCUACUUGCGGAUUUUCUGUCCGAUCCUCGAUGCAAGAAACUUCUAUAGUUUCUUGAUUUUUCAUUGGUAUUGUUUCCUAUUCAUUGCAAAACAUGAUGUAAUGGCUACUGCUUUCAAGAUUGUGCUGGAAUUAUACUUACAGCAGCUGAGAGAGCAACCCAAGUUGCUUUGCAGGCAAAACAAUGUUUGGGAGGAAAUGGAUAUGUGAAUGAGUAUCCAACUUGUCGUCUUCUGAGAGAUGCCAAACUAUAUGAGAAUGGUGCAGGAACUAGUGAGAUCAGAAGAAUGAUUAUUGGACGUGAACUCUUCAAGGAGCAGUAGUGAAAUGUUCAUUAUGUAACAGUAAAUGUUCAUUCAUCAAAGGGGAAUAAAAUUAGUCAUGAGAAUCCAUUAUUAAUAAAGGAAAGC